GAUCUCUUCAUUUAUGAAUCUUGUAUUUUAAUUAAACAUGUACUUUCACCAAUUUUUGAAUAAAAAGUAAUUUGUUAAGGUACAUUUUCAAAUGAGAGAGUGAGACAGGGAGCUGCACAGAAUUACACGUUCCCUAUUUGCACUGUAUAAUAUUAGUUUCUACAAGAGCUUUGUGAAACAGAAAUCACUGACAAAGUGGUGGUCAGAGAAUGUAAAUAAUGUUGCUAAUCAUAUAACAAUUAUCAAUUAAACACAUGAUUAUUGAUUCCUCACUCUACAUCUUCAUCAUCAGAACUUGCAUAUGCUAAGCCCAGCAAACUUUUAACAGUAUUUUCCUGCCCGGUAUCAUUUUUAACUGCAUUCUCCUCUUUAAUCUCAUCUGUUUUACCUGAUUUUAACAAAAAGCACUCUUUCUCCUCCUGAUCAGACUUGGCAGAUUUUGCUGAAGAAUGAUCACAUGAAGUUCGUGUAGAAUGAUUUCCAUAAGAAUGGUUUGAAACCUUUGGCCGUUUCGGCUUAACUUCCACCACCUUCUUCAGCAGGUCUUGCUGCCUACAAUCCAGAUAAUGCAUAGAGAUCAAGACCAAAAAGUAGCUGAACCUGAACAUGCUAGAGUGAAUACACUAUGAAAUACCUAAUCCCACUUUUUGGCUUUGGCUCAACACGUAGCGGCAAGGGAACUGAGGCAAGUGAAGAAUCUGCCAAACUUGCUGCUUUGUGCUCAUUGGUUAAGGACACAAUAAAAAGAGGCUACCAGUCACUAGCCUAUAGAAAAGCCAACAUAUCUUUUCAAUAAAUGAUCUGGACUAUACAAAGAUUGAGUAUAGUUUAAACCAGAAGUUAAUUCCACAAAAUAUACAAACCCAAGUCCUUCAUGCAUGAACCAAUAUGAGUUUAUAUUAAUGAGCCAAAUCUAGACAAUGACUCAAAACACUGCUGCACUUCAUUUUCCUGCAUAAUCCCAUCCACUUCAUCCAUCCAAAAGCCGCGGGGGGUGGGGAGGUGUGGUGGGGGUGAGGGGAGAGAGAGAGAAAGAGAAGGCAAAAAGGAGAAAGGGGGGUGGGAAGGAGGUUGUUGGUUGUUUUUAGCUCUAAUAAAUACUUCAGACAACUCCCACAGCUUGAUGUCAAUUGUAUGGGGACAUAUCCAAAAUGGCAUAUAUUAUCUAAUGACAACAAGGCUGAAGUAUUAGAUGAAAAAAUAUGUAUGUAAUGAGAACAACUAAGGGAAAAGAAUCCUUGAUUUUUUAUCACAACUUCUUAAUCAGAAGAAAUUGUAAUGAUAAAAUAACUAAAAAAGUAAGGGCCAAUUUAUACCUCUAUUAGAACCAGUAAAUGGACCCAAUUUGGAUUCUAUGAAAAGCAAAAUACACUACUCUCAAAUGUCAUGCAGAGGAAACCAAUGCUACAACCUUCAUGAAUUCCCUAAUAAACAUUCUAUCAACAGCAACAUGCAAGGAAAUAUGUGAUGAUAUAAACUGAUUUGAAAGCAAAGUGGCUGAUUUCCUGGUGUUCAGCAACAAGAUUCAAAAUUUGCUUACCAGCAUGGCAUAUACACACGAUAUUGACCACAACAAACCAAACCAGCAUCAGCUUGAUAUUUAUCAGACUGAUUCCUAAAUAAACAAGAAAGGAUAUUUUAAAUGCAGCAAACGCCCGUUUCUCAGUCCGACGAAGAAGGCGUUCUGCAUCCUCUUCGGCUUCCAUCUGCUCCUUGAGAUAAAGCAAGUCAUCGCUGUCCAAGGCGCCUCGCCCAUGAAGGUAGCCUCCACGUUCUCCAGCAACCUCUUGCAUCUGCUAGCAUCAACCACCCAACAGGAAAAGCCAAGAUCCCUGCCAGGGCACGUUAUCAGAGAACUCCAAAGAUUUCUUUUAACAAUAUAAUUGAAGCAAACAUUGAAGAAUGGUAGAUUUGACUUGCACAACAUUACUACUGACAAUAUUAAAGAUGACAUCUGCCCACUGAUAAUACACAACAAUGAAAGUGACAUGCACAAGCACAAUUCUCUAACUCAUCACAGCCCCAACAUUAUUGAGAUCAGGACUGUGCAUUCUACAUUCCAGGCCAUGACAGUUCACAUUUGGAUAUCCAAAAUCAGGCAUCUUAUUCCUGUUUGUUGCAAUCAAUAUACAUUUGUGUG
rnacentral:misc_RNA from 1 species